GAAAGAAAGCCAUAACAGAAAACAUUUCAUGUUGGUGUCAAGAGGAGGGGCUGUAUAAUCAAAGAUCCACAUGUAGUUUAUGGGAUGUUAUUGUUCAGGAAGUAGCUAGUUAGUCAGGUCUCUCAGUGCUGUCUGUCGGUUUCUCAAAGGUCUACAAGAUGUUUUUCUUCUCAUUUGUUCUCUUUUCAGCUUUUUUUGGAAACAGUUUUGGGGAUUCAAUAAACCCUGGGACUACAGAAGAGCUUGUUCAGGAGGGAAGGAAUGUCCAUCUCAUGCAAAUAUGAGGGCACUGUCUACAAUCUACAGUGGUUCCGCCAAUAUCCCAGAUCCAAACCAGAAUUCCUCUUGUACAUCACACCAGAAGGGUCUAUAUUUAAAGCUACUCCCCCAUCUCCUCGUCUGACAGUUUCCAUUGACAAAGUGGACAAACGUGUGGAUCUGAAGAUCUCUUCUGCUGAUGUGACAGACUGCUGUGUACUGCUGUGCCUUGAAGACCAUAGUGACAGGAAACUCUGACACACUGUUCAAAAACCUGUCAAGAACCAUGGGAGGAAACAGACAUCCUGUAUGACAUACAUAAGUAACAUGCCUGCUGUAUGUUAAUGGGAGGGACUUAUGGUGGAGGAUGAUCUGAACAACAGUAUAGAAACAUAAAAACACGAGGAAACUUUCAGAGACAGCUUAGAUCUUUCUGUCAGUUUGACUCUCUUCAUCUAACAUGCAGUUGCUGUAUUCUGUGUUGUUCCUGACCAUAAUUAUGGGUGUCAGUUGUGAAGACCUCACUCCACUCAAGAAAGAAGAGUACUGUUUAGAGGGAACCCCUGUUACCCUGUCUUACAACUACUCCAG